AUGAAACAACUACAACUAUGGGUUGUUCUAGUUCCUCAACGGCACAAUUAAGAGAGCUGAAAAAAGUACCUUCUAGUCGAAGACUCUUUGAGUCGUAAUAGUGCAUUGAAAUGACUUAGGAACUGUGCACACUUUGGAGAGAUGUUUGUCUACUUGGAGAAACCAGUUAGUCCUCUCACUCAAACCCUUAUUACUGUGCCAGCAAGUUUGCUGCUAUUGGCUUUGCUGAGUCUGUGGCUCUGGAGCUGCUGGCAACGGGGAAGGAUGGAGUCAAGACUAUUAUCGUGUAUCCAUAUUUCAUGAACACUGGCAUGUUCGAUGGCUGCAAUACUAAACGAAAUGCUGCUUACUGUGGACUGGUGGCCUCUGUUGUUGCCUAUCCUGGAUCCAGACUACAUAGCAAAGAGGAUAACGAAAGCCAUUUUAACUGACCAGGUCUACCUUCUGCUCCCAAAGAGCAUGUAUAUUCUCAUGGGCAUGAAGAAGGUCUUGACCUGACUGCAGCUCGGCGGCGUAACCGGACUUCAGUGGGCAAAUGCUCACCUUCGAUGUCCACUGGCACACAGGAGAAGUGUGCUCUUCAUAGAUGAGUCCCGGUUUCAACUGUACCAGGCAGAUGGCGUGUAUGGUGUCGUGGAAAUGCGACAAUCUGAAAUUAAUCAUUCUUUGUCAGCUCACUGGAGAGGUUCCAACAAACUUGAUGCACCAUAGUGAACGUCUGUCAGGAGCUCCCACGGGGCAGUCCCGUUUAGUUCCCUUAUAUACUGGUUACAGACAUAUUACAUAGGCAUAGUUCAUAGGGUUGGUUCUGUCAUGUGUCUGGCACCGUCUCCUAUCUUAAAGAACAUAUUCUGGGCAUUCUGCCAAAUAGUCUAAAGUAGGAGGUCAUGACGGCCACCCUCACAUCUUUACCAGGCACAGGUAGGAAUCAAGGAUUGUUUAUGACACCAACGACAAGAUGCAUGUAAUGGGAAUUUUUAUGUGUGCUUUUCUUAUAACCAAUUUCUGUGUUCUAUUCAUGUGCUGUUCUAUAAACCCAUUUCUGUGUUGUUGUUGACUGAACAAAUCUUCCUCUUAUCAGUAGCUGCAAUUUGGCAGUGUUUUGAGAACAAACGAAAGAUAUCUCAGUUUCAAGGUCUCAGCUUAGAGAGAAGCCUCGUGAGGUGUUGGUCUGUCACGUUAUGAACCAGCGUUGGUCAGUCACAUGAAUGAAACAAAACAGUAAUGAAUAAUUAAUUAUGCAAAUAUAACUUGUCUGUGUAUAGCUGUAUAUAAGACAACUGCUGGGUCUGCCAAGGGAGAGCUCCUGAUUGAUAUGUGUACUAUGGUGCAUUGAGUUGGAAUCUCUCCAGCGCGCUGACAAACGAUUGCUCAUUUAAGAUUGACUUUGAGUGUCCCUGUGUAGGAAUUUUCCCACAGCAUGCACAAAGUAAAAUGUCCUUCACAUUCCACCCUUUUAUCACUUGUGUGAAAAUAAAUCAUUACAUUUUAAGGUA